rnacentral:rRNA from 1 species
CAGUAGCCGCGGUAAUACGAAGGGUGCAAGCGUUACUCGGAAUUACUGGGCGUAAAGCGUGCGUAGGUGGUGGUUUAAGUCCGUUGUGAAAGCCCUGGGCUCAACCUGGGAAUUGCAGUGGAUACUGGGUCACUAGAGUGUGGUAGAGGAUAGUGGAAUUUCCGGUGUAGCAGUGAAAUGCGUAGAGAUCUGGAGGAAUACCGGUGGCGAAGGCGGCCCCCUGGACAAAGACUGACGCUCAGGUGCGAAAGCGUGGGGAGCAAACAGGAUUAGAUACCCCCGUAGUCCCUGUCUCUUAUAA